GCUCUGGUAUAGCUCAAUUGGUAGACCAUAAGACUCCUAAUCUCAGAGCUGUGGAUUCGAGCCCCAUGUUGGGCA